rnacentral:lncRNA from 1 species
GAAUUUUUUAGAUAUUUGAUUUUCUCAUGGUAUCUGAGGCCAGCCUGAUGCUGUCUCCCUCAUUGUGAAAGCCAAGUGAUCAAACCUUAACAUGGGCCAUCUGGCUCAAUUGUUCGACUGAAAAUGGAUGAGCCAACUUAGAGCACAUUUAGCCAAACCUAAUGACUAAGUUUGCCAAUUGGUUUUUUGAAUGCCAUUAUCAUCAAAAUCAAGUUAAAAUUGAGAUUACAACCAUAGCAAUGAUAUCAAGGAGCUCGAAUCCAUUAAUGAUUAUAGCAUCAAGAAUUAUAAGUAGUUUACUAUAAGCAUGAAAGUGAACCAAAUAAUGUUUGUUCAGAUCUAUUUUCAUAUUCGAAUAUAUUAGAUAUGAGAACAAAUUUAAACAUUCAACUAAUAUCUAUAUCCAUAUUUGCAUUUGCUAAAGAUAAAUGGAUAUGAAUAUAUGUAAUAACCU